rnacentral:rRNA from 1 species
AUGAACGCUGGCGGCGUGCCUAAUACAUGCAAGUCGAGCGAACGGACGAGAAGCUUGCUUCUCUGAUGUUAGCGGCGGACGGGUGAGUAACACGUGGAUAACCUACCUAUAAGACUGGGAUAACUUCGGGAAACCGUAGCUAAUACCGGAUAAUAUUUUGAACCGCAUGGUUCAAAAGUGAAAGACGGUCUUGCUGUCACUUAUAGAUGGAUCCGCGCUGCAUUAGCUAGUUGGUAAGGUAACGGCUUACCAAGGCAACGAUGCAUAGCCGACCUGAGAGGGUGAUCGGCCACACUGGAACUGAGACACGGUCCAGACUCCUACGGGAGGCAGCAGUAGGGAAUCUUCCGCAAUGGGCGAAAGCCUGACGGAGCAACGCCGCGUGAGUGAUGAAGGUCUUCGGAUCGUAAAACUCUGUUAUUGGGGAAGAACAUAUGUGUAAGUAACUGUGCACAUCUUGACGGUACCUAAUCAGAAAGCCACGGCUAACUACGUG